GGCGCAGCGUGUGCGUGACAGGCGUUGAGCAUCCAUUCCGGGCUUUGCACAUCUGUCCUGUUGCUGCACAGGUGCCGCGGGUCCAGCACAUCUGUCCCCGGCACCGUGUGCGUGUCCCGGGUACGGUGUGGCUCUGCUCCCGGUAAGCCGGUCGCUAGAUGGCAGCACGGCCACGUAGCGUGCGGUUGGUAGUGCCAGCGCGGUCCCUUGUCCCCCCUCCACGCCGGGUGCAGGGCGGGAGCCCGAGCCGUUGGUACCCCCACAAGAGAGGGGCUAGGUCGCCGUGGGGCGGCAUCGCUCUCCCGGUAGAAGCGGAGAGUCCCCGUCCCGUCCCCCGCGAGCCCUAUACACGCGGCGAGGCACAGGCACGGCCGGCGGUGUUUUGUCCACCCGCGGCUGCCGUAGGAACCCCCGGAAGUGUCUCCAUGGAGACGGGAGGAGGCUGGCCCCGGCCGGGGCAGCGAUGGAGAAAUACGAGCGGAUCCGGGUGCAUCGUGCACCUCUGCCUGCGCAAGGCCGACCAGAAGCUGGUGAUCCUGAAGCAGAUCCCGGUGGAGCAGAUGAGCAAGGACGAGCGGCUGGCGGCGCAGAACGAGUGCCAGGUCCUCAAGCUGCUCAGCCACCCCAACGUCAUCGAGUACUACGAGAACUUCCUGGAGGACAAGGCGCUCAUGAUCGCCAUGGAGUACGCCCCAGGGGGCACACUAGCAGAGUUCAUUCAUAAGCGCUGCAACUCCCUGCUGGACGAGGACACCAUCCUGCACUUCUUCGUGCAGAUCCUCCUGGCUCUCCACCACGUGCACACCAAGCAGAUCCUGCACCGUGACCUGAAGACUCAGAACAUCCUCUUGGACAAGCACCGCAUGAUUGUCAAGAUCGGAGACUUUGGCAUCUCCAAAAUCCUGAGCAGCAAGAGCAAAGCCUACACGGUUGUGGGAACCCCGUGCUACAUCUCCCCAGAGCUCUGUGAAGGGAAGCCUUACAACCAGAAGAGUGAUAUCUGGGCUCUGGGCUGUGUGCUCUAUGAACUCGCCAGCCUCAAGAGGGCUUUCGAAGCUGCGAAUCUUCCUGCCUUGGUACUGAAGAUCAUGAGCGGGACGUUUGCCCCAAUAUCAGACAGAUACAGCCCCGACCUGCGCCAGCUCAUCCUUAGCAUGCUGAACCUGGAUCCUUCCAAGCGGCCCCAGCUGAAUGAGAUCAUGGCCCAGGCCAUCUGCAUUCGGCCCCUUCUGAACCUCUACACUGACGUGGGCAGUGUCAAGAUGAGAAGGCCUGAAAAACCCUUGGCUCCGGUGCCAACAGUGACCCACAGCCGGACGGGGGGACGAGUGAGCAGUGCCAGGCCGAGGGGUGUUCGAGGGGGCUCGGCCAGGACAGGAAUCCCUCCUCCAUUGUCAUCCAUCUACACGUGGGGGAGCGGGAUCACCACCCCUCUCCGACUGCCCAUGCUUAACACUGAGGUGGUGCAGGUGUCUGCAGGCAGGACACAGAAGGCUGGGGUCACCAAGUCGGGAAGGCUCAUCCUGUGGGAGGCUCCCCCGAUGGGUGCUGCAGGAGGCCCUUCCCUCCCCGGAGCCACUGAGCAGCUCCAGCCUCAGUUUGUGUCCCGCUUCCUGGAGGGUCAGUCUGGUGUGACCAUCAAACACGUGUCCUGUGGGGAUCUCUUCACAGCCUGCCUCACAGACAGGGGGAUAAUCAUGACCUUCGGCAGCGGCAGCAAUGGCUGUUUGGGGCACGGAAGCUUCACAGAUGUGAGCCAGCCCAAGAUCGUGGAGGCCCUGCUGGGCUAUGAGAUGGUGCAGGUGGCCUGUGGCGCAUCCCACGUCCUGGCAGUUUCCAACGAACGGGAAGUGUUUGCCUGGGGCAGGGGGGAUAAUGGUCGGCUCGGGCUGGGUACCCUGGAGUGCCACAACUCCCCCCAGCAGGUCACAGUCCCGCCGGAGCAUGAGGUCCACAGAGUCAUCUGUGGCAUCGACUCCUCCAUGGUCCUCACUGUGAAGAACCAGAUUCUUGCCUGUGGGAGCAAUAGGUGUAACAAGCUGGGCCUGGAUCGGAUUAGCUCAGCAGAGGAGCCCUCCCCAGAGGACCAAGUGGAAGAGGCCACGGUGUUCAUGUGUGCCCAGUCGGUCCCCUUGAACCAAGAGCCGAUUGUGUGCGCUGACAUUGGUACAGCGCACUCAGCUGCAGUCACAGCUUCUGGCCAGUGUUACACCUUUGGCAGCAACCAGCACGGGCAGCUGGGUACCAGCUCCUGCCGCAACAGCCGUGUACCCCACCUGGUUGUGGGGCUCCAGGCGAUGAAGGUCACUGUGGUGGCUUGUGGGGAUGCCUUCACUGUGGCCAUUGGUGCAGAUGGUGAGGUGUGCACAUGGGGGAAAGGAGCCAGGGGACGCCUGGGCAGGAAGGAUGAGGAAACAGGAACACCAAAGCCGGUGCAGCUGGAGGAGACACAUCCCUACCUGGUGACCUCCGUUGCCUGCUGCCACGGGAACACGCUGCUGGCAGUAAAGCCUGUAGGUGAACAGAAAUAGCUUGAGGCCCAUAAAAAUUCCCCUUCAGCACUGGGAUGCUUCCGCUGGGCCGGGAGAGCAGAGGGACAGCAGAAGAGGUUCUCCCGCACUCCCACAUUGGCGGGGAGCUGAGGAUCCAAAAGGAGCAGCUCUCUAAUUGCUGCUGCUGAAAUAGAAGCUGAGAUUUGAGGCGUCGUUUUGGCUGCUGCCUUUCCAUUGUGGUUUGGAAAAGAUAGCACUGGUUUUUGUGGUUCCUCUCUGCUCGGCCCAAAGGCAGCAUCGCUGCGUGGUUAAAACGUGCCCAUGGCAUGACCUGCCCUUCCGUUCCCUGGGUGUCUGAUGGGAGCCUGGCCCACGCUCCUGGAGGGGCCUUUCUUCCUCCUUUCCUGGGCUGAUUAUGGCCUCAGUGCUGGGCUGAGGGAUCCCAGUCCCAGCCCACUUCAAGCAGGCUAAUUACACCCUGGAGGGGAGGAGGCAGGGCUGUGACUGCCCCAGCGCAGCGCAAUGGGCCAUGGCUCCUGUUCUUCUCCUGCAAGGGCUGAGCUCUCGUGCUGUGUGCUGCCAUGUGAAGGGGACAGGGAACGGCUGAGUCCCUGGGCUCAGAAACUAGGAGGACAUUUGUUAUGGGAGCAGGAGGGUUCUGUGUCUGCAGCAGGCUGCUCUCCCCUCCCAGAGCUGGUUUGUGGGCUUCCACCUGCAGCACUCUGUUGUGGAAGAGUCGCCUUCCCAGUGAGUUUGAGUCGAGGGGACACAUCCAGCUGCCUGGAAUGCCUUGUCCUCUCAGCGCUUCCUGAUGGCUCAGCCCUGCAUCCCCAGGCUCAGGAGUUCCAAACAGGAAACAGGGAGCUCCUAACGAUGGUUCCCAUGGAACCGGAGCUGGUCUCUCUUAUGGAAUCAACAAGGGUCACUGUGAACCUUCAGUGCCUGAGAGCUGCUGCCCUGGAUGUGCCAUGGGGUGGGCAUCCCCAGAGCUCCGCUGCUGCUGUCAAUGGGGAAGCCUCCCUGCUGGAAGUGCCUGUGUGGAAGGGUGAGGAGCACAAAGGUUGUUUCCCCAGUGGAAACUGUCUCUGGUUACAGAGCCCAGGCUGACAGCUCGGUGUCUGAGAGAGCUGUCAGCCUGUGCACAGCGGUGUCUGGAGUUAGGGCCCCAGGCACUACUCGGGGUGACUAAGUGCAAACCUCUUUUCUAAUUAGAGAAGCCUGUCCUUUCCCAUCCCCCAAAGAGCAUUUCACCCAUUUGUUGGGCUGUUUAUCAUGCUUCUGAGGGUCCUGCUCUGCACAGCAGGACGAACCCGGGGUGAACAGCCCCUUUGUGCAGCACAACCUGGUUUGCUCUCCCCAAAACACAGCCUGGAGCUUUCCAAUUAGAGCCUCCCCCAGCGCCAGGAGCUCACCAGAGGAUCCUCCAGCUGACAUUUGUCCUCAGGCCCCUAAAUCCUGCUGCUGACCAGCUCACAGGCUCCCAGCUGAGCUAGCGGAAGGCAGUGGAACACAGCGAGUGAUUGUCAGCACUUGAAGGUUUUUAACCCAGAUCUCUCCAGGGGGGUGAUGAGCUUUCACCAGGGAUCCUGUCUGUAGGCAGGAGGGGGCAUAUCACCGUGUCACAGACAGGAGCUGCAGGUUUUAUCUCAAGAAAGGUCUUUUCCUUUCCUUCCCCCUGCCCCCUUUUCUUUUUUUAACUUACAUCUGCCCUGGGCCAGUUUUUGAUGAGCUCCUGUCUCUGAUCUGUCUGACACUGCAAAUGCUCCUGCCUUUCACAUCCAUCUUUGUGCCGUUGCCAAUCUGUUGUGUAUAAAGUCAGGGCUUUCAUGAGGUGGCUGAGAUGAAA